UACGGGGGGGGGCGAGCGUUGUUCGGAAUUACUGGGCGUAAAGUGUGCGCAGGCGGCCGCGCAAGUCGAGUGUGAAAGCCCCGAGCUUAACUUGGGAACUGCGCUCGAAACUACGUGGCUGGAGUGUGGCAGAGGAAGGUGGAAUUCCACGUGUAGCGGUGAAAAUGCGUAGAGAUGUGGAGGAACACCGAUGGCGAAGGCAGCCUUCUGGGCCAACACUGACGCUCAUGCACGAAAGCGUGGGGAGCAAACAGG
rnacentral:rRNA from 1 species